rnacentral:lncRNA from 1 species
AGGAGGCGCGUGGCUUCUGCAGCCCCGAAGGCUCCUUUUGUCCGCCCGCGGUGUGAGGAGUGCGUGCCGGGGGCUUUGUUCGGCCAGCAGCGCUCGCCCGUCCCUGCCCACGGCCUCGCCUCCUGUUCUGCACCGGGCUGGGCAGGGACGGUGGCGCCGUCUUGGUUUCGGGCUUGGAGGACAGUUGUUCAGGGGGAGGCGGUGCGGGCGGCGCAUUGCUUCCUUCUCCAGAGCGCGUCGAGCACCCAGACCGAGCACCCAGACCGCGGCUGAGUGUGCUCAGACCCCGAAGCUGGAACGAAGGCGGCGGGCAGGAAUUGGUGGGGAGGAGGAGAGUGGCUCGGGUGGUCAGUGAGUUUGAGAGACCUAGGUGGGUUUGGCCUCGACACCACUUGUAAGUUCAAGUUCGGGGUCUGGUCUCUAGCCCCGCGGCUAGAGUCAGUGCGUUGUACCUGGUACCCUCUCCCUAAGUGGCCCUGCCUGGGACGGGCUAGCAGUUCACCUCUGGUCUCCGUCACAAUGGGACAGAGCAGACAGAGCAGAUGGCAAGGCCUAAAACGAGCACCCGGUGUACCUAACCCUUUCCUUUCUCUCUGCUCUUGUCCGCUUUCCAGGUUAGCUUUAUACGUCUAUGAAUACUUACUGCAUGUAGGAGCACAGAAAUCUGCACAGACCUUCUUGUCCGAGAUUCGAUGGGAAAAAAACAUCACGCUGGGAGAGCCGCCUGGGUUUCUGCACUCGUGGUGGUGUGUAUUUUGGGACCUUUACUGUGCAGCUCCUGAAAGGAGAGACACUUGUGAACAUUCAAGUGAAGCGAAAGCCUUUCAUGAUUAUAUGGCACCAGUGGUGAUAGGUGAAGUGAUUUAUUCUCUGCAGACGCUGGAAUUGAGCCAUGUUGUCUUUUUUCCCCCCUUUUUAAGAUGGAAUCUUUCUGUAUUGCCCAGGUUGGCCUCAAACUUAGGGCUCAGGUGACCCUCUUUCUGCCUGCAGCCUCUGGAAUAGCUAGGACUGUAGCCGUCCACUAACAUUAAAACCAUAUUGUAUUAAUCCACAGCCUUUCCUGUAAACUGUGAAGUGCUGAUGAAAUAAAAAGCAUGUGAAAAAGGUAUGUGUUUGGAAUACUCUCUUGUAACUUGGAUGACAGCCAUCGUAUUUGGGUAUUUCUUGCACCAUUGUCAGGAUUUGGUUUCAGGUGCCUGUGAAAAAAUUAUGGUAAUUAAAAUGUAAUUUGGAAUCCCCUGUUGGCUUACAGCAGCUGGUCCAGAUGUAGGAGGCUGGGACCAUCCAUGCCGGAACAAGCUGAGGCUUGUUAGGGGUGUCACUUUGUUCUGCCCUUUGUGUUGCUGGGGAGCAGGGUGGGGCUAAAGAGAUGCAGGAGCUAUUUUUACAUUGUUCAUGUCAUGUUCAGAAUUAGUGGAUGUUUGUGGUUGGGUCCCUGUUUGGCCUCAGCAGGGAGGAGAACUCCCUCUGCCCCUUGAGUCUGUAUGGAAACUUGAGCUCAUACCCCUAGGGUCUACUUACUGCUGUAAAGGCAGAGGGAUCCAAAGUGACCGUGAAGUCACCCUGAUCUUUUGGAAUUAUCUUUUUAGGGCUUAGAUUCUCCAGGGCUCUUCAGGUUGCUCCUGCAGGGGGGAUAUGAGUUGGGGGGUCCAUGGUCAAGAGGCACUGUACUCAUCCAUGUCCUUAUUUGUUCAACAGAUAGUGUUUCAGUUUGAGACACCUGGUAGCUCUUUUCUCAGAUAUUUGCAGCGUGAAGUCGAAUAAGGUAUUGUCCCUCAAGGAUUUUAUAGUCUGGGGAAAUGGAAAAAUAAACUUUCAGUUGAUCAUGUGCAAGCCAGGUGUAUGCUAGGUUCUGUAGGAGGUGUAAGUGGUGCAGGGCCAGCUGUAGGAGGGGUGCAGGGGCUGUGGGAAUACAGAAGAGGGGCUUGGGUCACGUGGGCUGGUCAGAGGUGGUUCCUGGAUGUGGUGCUGAGUAGCAGGUUUCAAGUACAGUGAAGUAUAUACAAUGGACUCUUGAGUCACGACCCUCGAGUUACAUACGAACAAUUUGAGUUAUGACCAGAAUUUUAGUUUUUAACUUACAGCUAAAAUCUUGAGUUACAACCCGAAUGCUGGCCACUUGUGCUUCCAGGUGGUCUCAGAUACAGAUUUAACCCUUAAAGAGCUCUGGAAGGAACAGUACAACAUCUUUCCCUGUGUGGGGUUAAUUGAGAAAUCCUGGGCCAGUGUCUCUUUGUUAGGUUUUUUUUUUUUUUUGGUACCGGGAAUCGAACUCGGGACCUUGCGCUUGCGAGGCAGGUGGCAGAACCACUGAGCUAAAUCCCCGGCCCUAGGCCAGUGUCUCUUUAAGGACACUGAGAUCUGCCUGUAUAUACGAGAGAGACUUUGAAGGCUGUGUAGAGGAGCCUGAGCCUUCAGUUGACCAACUUGAGUUACAACCAGCCCUUGAGAAUGAAUUGAGUUUGUAAGUCAGGGUCCACUCUAUGGGGCUAGGGUGCAUCUUAGUGGCAGAGUAUUUGCCCAGCAUGGGCAAAGUCCUGGAUUCAAUCCUCAGCACUGCCAAAAAAGAAAAAAAGGUUUUAAGUAUAUAUUUCAGGGUUAUUUGCUGUUGAGCAUUAUUUGAAUAUGUACACACUGUAUGGGUGGUAGUAGUCACAUCUGUUUCAUUACUCAGUUGGCGUCCUAGGAUUUUAUGUUUAUACCCGAAGAGCUCACUGUCUUUGAAAAGUUUAAGAAAAUGUUCUGUGUAUCUCACCCCUUGAUGCUGCUGAGGUCAGAGAUGGGAGCAGCCGUGGCACCAAAGCCUGCACAUCAAGUCCUUGCCUUCCUUCCUCUUGACAGACCAGGCCACGGUGGGUUAUUGCAAAGCAGGGGUUAAAGAAGCCAGACCCCCCCGUAUUGAGUGCUAGCUGGGAUGGGCACGAGGCCUACCUGUGAGCCCUGCAGGACCAGCGGGGUGGAGCAGGGUGUGUGGCCUAGUGGAGGUGGCUGGCAGCCCUGUUAGGGCUAAAAGCACACUUAGGGGCUGGAACAAAGUGGAAGGCAAAGAAGCAGAGCAUUUUGCACAAGUCAGCAGAGCGUGGUUGCCUGAGGCUGGCUUGGAGAGGGGACUCACAUGUACACUAGCCCAGUGCAUUUGUGUGCCUGAAUUCAUCCCACAAAUACUCUGCUCCCAUCUCUCCUUGGCCGUGCCCCAGGCAGGUUGUCGAGGAGCCAGUGAAUUCAGUGUAGCCUUGCCUGUGGGGUAGCGGACUGUGUAGGGUGGUCACUGCACAGGUUCGCCUUCUGGGACCCUGUGCAUGUAGCUGGCGAGUCCCUACCACCUUGUGAGCCAUGUAGGAUGCCUGGCCCUGUCCUUGGCAUGGGAUUAUUUGCAGUAAGUAUUCCAAAUGUUAAGUUCCCCUUGACUUGAGCUGAGCAGAUGAAACAAAAUGGCAGGCAGAUUAGAAGGGGCUUGAGAAGCCUUUUAGGAUUUGGAAAUUUUACUUUGUUGACUUUGAAAAGCUGCU